UACGAAGGGGGCGAGCGUUGUUCGGAAUUACUGGGCGUAAAGGGCGCGCAGGCGGCUCUGAAAGUCAGAUGUGAAAGCCCCGGGCUUAACCUGGGAAUUGCAUUUGAUACUCUGGAGCUUGAGUACGGGAGAGGAGAGUGGAAUUCCCAGUGUAGAGGUGAAAUUCGUAGAUAUUCGCAAGAACACCAGUGGCGAAGGCGGCUCACUGGCCCGGUACUGACGCUGAGGUGCGAAAGCGUGGGGAGCAAACAGG
rnacentral:rRNA from 1 species